GUUAUCUUGUGGGCCUGGUAUACA
rnacentral:siRNA from 1 species